CCUCGGGUGGCUUGAGGGUGAGUAAUUUAUGGGAUAAUUUUCAUUUUUGGGUGAACUAUCUUUUUAAGGGUCCAUAAUUAUGCAGUAGUUAAGCAUUAACACACUGCUAAUUGAAUGAUUACCUGAACAUAUACAGUAGUAAAGGCCAUUUUAUAUAUAUAUAUAUAUAUAUAUAUAUAUAUAAACAUUAUUUAUGCAUAUAUUAUGCAUUAUUUGUCCAGUAAUUAAUAAUUCGAUGAACACAUAUUAAGGGCAUAUUAGCAUUAUUUACAACAUUUGAAAGAUAAAUAAGCAGAAAUAAGCCAAAAAUGAAUGCUAAAUGUAUAUUAUGGUAAAUUACUUUUAAGGUUAGACUUUAUUUUGAUAGUCCACUUUAGACAUUCCUUUGCCUCUACGUCAGUUAACUCUAAUUAGAGUAUUUGUAGAUUGUUAGGUAUUCAUAGUUUUUUAUUAGAUCUAAUUUGUCAGCAAAAAACAUAAUUUGACAAAAAAGAAAUGAAACCAAAUAUUCAAACAUUUUAUAAAUUAAACAUGUAUCAAUACUUAACCCAAUCAUCUUGUGUAAACUGUCCUUGUGAAAACGUGAUUUCCUGAAAUAACACAUGGUCAAAUUUAAAUAAUUUCACUUUUCAUUCUGUUAUGUAUCUUCUUUCAUUUUCCACAAGUCAAAAGGGUUUGGAACAACACGAGGGUGAGUAAAUGAUGACCACUUUUUAAUUUUCAGGUGAACUAUCCCUUUAAAUUCAAGACUUGUUGAAAAGUCUAGGUCCUUGAAAAGGUCGUGAAGUCUUUUAGUGAACCCCGGAUAACAGUCCGUUCAUUUCCUCCCUGAAGCCUGAUGCUUUUGACAGAUUUCACUGACACGAUUGUUUUUUCCCCCUCCGCAGGUUUGGCACUGACUGAAAGCUGGCAGAACACUGGCAGACACUCAGAACAAACCCGUUGUUUGUCAGAGGUGUCAUACGACGAGAGUCCCGCAUCCUUGUCCUCUCGCGCUCCUCAUUUCCUCCUCAAGCAAAGCUUGUUUAGAGUGGGCGUCGGCCGUGUGUGUGCGUGUGUGAUAGGGAGCCUGAGGGAUGCGAGUCGGCAUGGCUCUCAGAGUAAUUGAAAAUGUGACCUGGAAAAUGUUUGCCCAGCAGAGCAUGAAAGUUACCUCCGGAGCGCCGGCUGAAGCUCACCUGCGGUGCCGACUGGGAGGGCCUGGGAAUGCUGGGAUAUCGGGCUGAGAGCCACUUUAUCCCUGCAGAGCCAUGCACACCGACGUCUCAUGCAUUAUUCACAGCCUCUAAAUAAGCACAGAUCAGACCACUAAAACCCAACCUGCUGGCCCUUUCCUGAGGAGUACCUCUCUCACCACUGACCUCUGCAAGGGCAUCACAGAUCUUGGAGGCUCUCUACAGGAUGGAAACUGUCUCUUUCUCACACACACAGACAUCAUGAAUAUGUAGGGGGUCUUCGCCGGAGCACAUCCUAGUCCAUGAGGAAAAGCCAACACUGUCUUUCCACAGGCUCUCAUGUGGGGGAACGCUGGAGGGAGAAGACAAAGGUGGCUGGGCAAAACACAAAGUCUUCACUCUAGUUCUCCAGCAGAUUCCAUAUCGGAAUGGAUGCAGACAGUGGAUUUCUGGGAAAAACAUGAAAAAAGAAAGCCAGUGGGUUUGGAACAAUGUGAAGAUCACCUGAGACUUGCAGUGAGGAAAAUGAUAUCCAAAAUCAUCUCAAUCAUCCCUUGCUUCAAAAACGAAACGCCAACGCUAGCUGUAGGGUGCUCUGGAGGCCAUGCUAUUGCAUGCGCGCUGAUGUCCAAGGCAAUAACAGCGGUAGCUCACCCCUGGACGAGUGAUGAAAGCUGGAUCUGAUGAAAACUGCUCCUUCAACAGCUGCCCACUGACUGCAGACUACCGUUUUACCAUUGAAAUGCAACCAUGUAUCCGGAGUUGUUUUGUUCAAGCGAAGGACAUAUUCAGCAAUACAGAACGGUGCUUAUUGUACAUGACAGAAUGGAAGAGGUUUACAAUGGUAAUUUUUUUCACCAUUAUGGGUCCUUCUUUGGUACUAGGUUUGCACACAUCCAUCAUAGAAGACACUGUAUGCCAAAAUCUCUCAUCACAAAAAACUUAUAUUUCUUCCUCAGCUAAUGGAAAUUUAAGUCGCCAUAUAACUCCAUAAAGUUUCAAAUCUGCACAGCAUGGCAAGACCCGCAGGAAAUGGCUUCAGAUGUCAUUUAUUUUACAGUUCUCAUUUUCAUCUGUCUCCUUUCUGUACUUUUCCCUCUCUCCAUAUCUUUUCAUGAUGUUUGCUGUCAUUGGCGCUAGCUUGAGUGGUCGUGUUUUGAAUUCUCUUUUCUGUCUGGCUUCUUUACAUCAGCCUCCUCCUUCCAAAUCCACCCAAACAAGCAUGUGGACAUUUGUAUUUCUGUCAGAGGACUUCUAUUUAAUGCCGAGCUAAUGAUAUUUCUCAACCUAACCUUUAUCUCUUAACACACACACACAUGCACACACACAUUUUUACUUUAUAUUGUUUGUUUUGUUUCCGUGUCUCAGAGUAAACAAUAUACAAUUAUUUCUUGUAUUCUUUUUUUUUUUUUCAACUGUAUUAUUAUUUUUUUAAAGUUGUGACUUUAUUUGCCGUAAUUGCAAAGUUUUUUCCCUCAGUUUUUUUUUCUCUCAAUUGCAACUUUAUAUCUUAAAAUUGUUACCUUAUAUCUUACAAAUGUGACUUUAUUUCACAUUAUUGCAACUUUGUUUCUCGUAAUAGCAAUUUUAUAUUUUGCACUUCGCAGUGUGACUUUAUUAUUGUUAUUUUCACAAUUAUUUUUUGGAAAUGGACAUCCAUAAGGGAUUUGUUAACAUCACUAUUCAGUUUUAUGUUUAUAUUUUCCGUUUUCAUUUUAAUUUCAGUUAAAAGUAUUAGUAUGUCUAUAUAGAUGUUAUUCAUUUUUAUUUCAGUUUUAGUUAUUUUAGGACAUCAAGUUACAAUAAAUGAAAAUGGGAAAUGUCUUGGCAAAGUUAUAUAUAUUUCAGUUAAUUUUAUUUUAAGAAACAGGAUCAUUUUAGUUUUAGUUAUAAUAACCCUGCUUGAAAAAAAUAAGAGUUUUAAGAAAAGUGACAGCUAAUAAUAUAUGACAAAACAAACGGUCUGUUUUGUCUGAAUAUAAAAAGCAUUAAAUUCAAACAUUUUAAUAUAAAUAUUUACAGCGCCUUUAUGAUUCAUCUGCCUGAAGCGUUACAGAAAUUGUAGAAUAUGUGUCAAAUGUCUAAAGUGACAGAUAAAAGACUAUGCAGCCAACAGCCUGAAUAGCAUAAACACAUUAAAAUAUAAGUUACGUUUGCCUGAAUAAAAGUCUGACAUUCUUCCUGUCUAUGAAUCCUAGAGGAAAAUCAAAUUAAUGCAUACACACAUACCAUAAAAACUAUUAAUCUUAAACAUCUACGUUGCUAUCUCCCACAUUUUGUGUGUGUGUGUGUGUGUGGGGGGUGUUCUGGUAAACCCUACAUUGUGGGGACAAAAAUGUGGGGACAUUUUUGGUCCCUAUGAGGAAAACAGCUUAUAAAUCACACAAAAUUAUGUUUUUUUUUUUAAAUGGUUUAGGUUUAGGGUUAGUAUAUAGAAUAUACAGUUUGUACAGCAAUAUGGAAUGUCCUCAUAAAACAUGAAAACGUGUGUGUGUGUGACCAGAGACACUGGCCAGUUCAGUGUUUUAUGACCUUUUAACACAAAACAAGCCUAUCACCAAAGCCACCUGUAUCAUCUCCCUGGUUUGUGUCUCUUUAACCAUGUAGACAGCAGGCUUGCUUGUAUGCAGGAUACCUGUGUAAGGUAAUUAAAUCCAUUAGAGUGUGAUUAAGGCCUGUCAGGUGCAGCACAGAUGAUAAGAGUGGCAGUGUUAAUAGACUAAAGCUCAGGGGAGGAGGCCCAGAUAGCAGCCCGAUCCGUCUUUAUAUACACCCGAUGUCUUUUCCAAUUACUCUCCAACUUCUGUUUGCUUGUGUCCUCACGCUCAUCCGCACAGAACGCCGCAUGACUUUCACCCAAAUAAAAGCCCACGCACGGAUACUCUUGUACAAACAAACAAACAUUUUCUUUUCCCCAUUAAACAUGAGAAUGCCACUCAAACAAUAAAACACACCCAACAAAAUGCUUCAUAUUCCAGUAUUGUUGCGAAACUUUGAUACUAUGUCUCUCUUUUUCUUCU